CUACUCGUGGCCGUUUUCCAUCCACCCCCGCCUCCUUUCUUUCUCUGCCCCUCACUCCCUCACAAUCCCUCUCCCGAAACCCUUGCCACCGCCACCUACGCCUCUUGUUCCGGCAUGUUCCGGCGGGCCUCGCCGGCGCGCAGCCCAGAUCCGAGCUCCCCUGCCUCCGCUCUUCCCUCCCCUCCGGCCAGAUCCGCCUCUCACGGUCCCGGUAGCUCAUCCCCAACCCCUUCCUACGGCUAGGGUUUCGAGGGUGGCGUUCCCACCAAUUCCGGCGCGGCGGCGGCGACUGUGCUCCGCCCUCUUCGACGCCCACCAACCUAGCCGCAUGGCACAGCCAUGGCCAUGGCGGCGGCCAGAUCCACCCCCUCCCUCAUCUCCUCGCCGCCGCCACCUCCUCCCCGUCCUACAGCGGCGCGUCCCGCCACCACCUCCUUCCUCAACGGGUCCCGUAGUGACGCCCAUCACGUCCCGCAGAUGCCGUCCCCAAUCCCCACCGCGUUCCCCAAUCCCCAUCCCCAACCAAAAUCUUCCCCAUCUCCCCCGGCCAGUUCUCCUCCCGUUCGCGUCCCCUUCCCCACCCCCCCUCCCAGAUCACGCCGCGCGCCGCCCCUGACCGCCGCCGGAACCCCACCCCGCCGGCGACGAGGCCAGGACCCCCCGAGGGCCCAGCCAAGAUGGUGCUCGCGCAGCUGGGCAGGAGCAUCUCCCGCGCGCUUGCGCGGAUGGGCAAUGCCACAGUGAUCGACGAGAAGGUGCUCGGGGAGUGCCUCAACGAGAUCUCCCCCGCGCUCUUGCAGUCUGGCAUCCGGAAGAUCGUCAACCUCGAGACCCUCGCCGCCGGCACCAACAAGCUGUGCAUCAUACAGCAGGCUGUCUUCACGGAGCUCUGCAACAUGCUAGAUCCAGGGAAGCCGGUCUUCACCCCCAAGAAGGGCAAGCCCAAUGUCGUCAUGUUCGUCGGAUUGCAGGGCCAGUCUGACUCACCAACCAACCUCGCCUGCUUGCUCUGUUUAUUGUUCUACACCUAUUACUGAAUGUAUAUAUGUACCACUCUGUGUGUAGCAUUUUUCUAACUAUACAAUAGCACUCACUCCUCUACUGUCACAUAAUAGAUUAGCCUUGAAUUCAUCUAGUUUGGAUCAAAACAGAACCAUUGAUUAAUACUAGAUGAUUGUUACUGUAAAUUUGGUUAUAGAUUUCUUUGAACUAGUAUGAUUCCCUGUUGAUCUACAUCUUUUACUUACUCACAUGCUUGACUGAAUUUGCUACUGCUGUUACUCUAGUGGUGAACGAGAUAGGCAUUAUAUUGCUUGUUUCAUUGCUUCCACAAAUUAAAACUCAGUAAUCUUGUUAACUGCUACCGCUGUCAUGAACCACACAUCUGAGAUGAACUUGACAUUGAUUUUCUCGUGUGUCAAGUAUGGAUAGACUUUGCUAUUCACCAGUAUUCAGGAGGUUGAAGUGUGCGUGUUGUUGUGGCUGUUAGGAUGUCGUUGGGUUGUUAUCACUAGUACUAGUCCUAUCAAAUUGCAUGUGAGUAGUUCAUUACCAUGCUAUCCAGGGGAUAUUCAUUUAUGUGCCUGUGAAUUCGUUCUUGAUGUGUAUGUAUGUAUAUGUGCUAGCAACAUGAGUAGGAAUUAGCAUCAUGCUCUGCCUGGAUGGAUUGCAUGCAUACAUUGAUCCAGGGAGAAGUGUAUGGCUGAUACAAUCCUUUUUUUCACAAAGCUAUUAUACACUUUGGUAAAUACAGUAAUUUGUUCUUUACUAAAUGCAUUGCAAGUAUGGAUGCUGAUGCAUGCAUGCAUCUAGGGUGAGUCGUACCUAGUUGUUCUUUAUGCAUCUCCAGUCGUACCUAGUAUUGUUUUAAUGGAAUCAGUACAAUUUCUGUGUAUAUAGGGAUUGCUCUGUUUGCUUCAUAUUAUGGUGUAAAUGUCUUGCUAGCUUAUUGUGGCAACCGGCUGGAUUAUCGCUCAUAGUGUCACUCGUAUCACGCUACACUGGCUAGGCUUCUACCGGCUGUUCCGGUGCCGUGCUACGCUGGUUGGGCUUCUCUGGACCGGUAAAAAAAAUUAAGAGAACGAUCAUUGGCAUGGAGAGAUCGAUCCUUCCGUGUGAUCCGUUCGGUGAAAAAAAAGAAAAUGGGAUCCAUCGGGGUAGUACAUUUGUACUGGUAUGAUGAACAAGAGCUUCCAGUUAAUUACAUAAUAUUGGUGAUGUAGUUUUACUUGCUGUGUAUGCUUGCUUAGUUGUUCAUCGGGGCGCUCUCUUGUAUCCUUUGAGUGCGCCAACUAGUUCGACCAGCCUCUCUAUGAUUUAUUUUGAUAGCUUAUGGAGUCCUUCUAUCUAUAUUUGUGAAAAAUUCGACCCAACAAAAAAAUGUUAAUCAGUCCUCUCUCUCAAAGUUGAGUUUGGGCUGCUGCAUAUGAAUGAUUUUUUUUUCGCAGUUUGACUUUGAGGAUGUUGUUGCUGCUAAAGUAGCAACAACAACAAUCACGCUUUGGUUCCCCAAAAUUCAGAUGGCACUUGCAUCUCUACAUACACACACAUAUGAAUAUGCACCUCGGUUUGGCUCAGUUUGCAUGUUUACAUUUGCUUUAACUUUGACUGAAACUAUCUUGGUGACACUUGCAUCAAUGGUGUGUUCUGCCCUUAUAGAUGUCCUUGGAGAAGAUGGCCAUUGGAGUGUAGGGGAGGAACAACCUUGUCCUGCUCGAGGAGGAGGAGGAGGACCACCCGAGCUCGACGACGACACGGCAACAGGAACUAGCAAACUUUGUUGUUUUGCAACUGAAUGAACGCAACUUCAGUUUGUAUGUCACCCAGCUUGCUGUUGCGGUGGCUGUCGAUGCCGGUGAGCCUGCAACAUCUCCGAUGAGCUGCAGGACCUGGACACCUUAGGAGCUCCAGGCAUAGGAAAUUUCAAGUUUGAAGUGGCGUGUUCUGAUAGUCCAGAAAAGUGAAGAAGUCUGGAGUGUAUUUGUAGUAGGAGUUAUAUGUUCUGAUAGAAUCACAUGUAAUGGUGAAAUGAAUUAUGUAAAGAUUGUGCUAUUAGUCAAAAUUGGCAUGUGGUUUGAUAA